CCUACGGGAGGCAGCAGUGGGGGAUAUUGCACAAUGGGGGGAACCCUGAUGCAGCGACGCCGCGUGGGUGAAGAAGCGCCUCGGCGCGUAAAGCCCUGUCAGCAGGGAAGAAAAUGACGGUACCUGAAGAAGAAGCCCCUGCUAACUACGUGCCAGCAGCCGCGGUAAUACGAAGGGGGCAAGCGUUAUCCGGAUUUACUGGGGGGAAAGGGGGCGCAGACGGCGAUGCAAGCCAGGAGUGAAAGCCCGGGGCCCAAACCCGGGACUGCUCUUGGAACUGCGUGGCUGGAGUGAAGGAGGGGCAGGCGGAAUUCCUGGUGUAGCGGUGAAAUGCGUAGAUAUCAGGAGGAACACCGGUGGCGAAGGCGGCCUGCUGGACUGCAACUGACGUUGAGGCCCGAAAGCGUGGGGAGCAAACAGGAUUAGAUACCCGGGUAGUC
rnacentral:rRNA from 1 species